UACGUAGGGGGCAAGCGUUGUCCGGAAUCAUUGGGCGUAAAGAGCGCGUAGGCGGCCCAGUAAGUCCGCUCUGAAAGUCAGAGGCUCAACCUCUGGAUGCGGGUGGAUACUGCUGGGCUAGAGUCCGGAAGAGGCGAGUGGAAUUCCUGGUGUAGCGGUGAAAUGCGCAGAUAUCAGGAGGAACACCGGUGGCGAAGGCGGGUCUCUGGGCCGAUACUGACGCUGAGGAGCGAAAGCGUGGGGAGCGAACAGG
rnacentral:rRNA from 1 species